rnacentral:misc_RNA from 1 species
UCACCGUCUUCGCGCGCUUCUUCACCGAACUCAGCUCCGCCGGCCUCAUCUCCAACUCUUCCCGCGCCCUCUGCAUCGGCGCGCGCCUCGGCCAGGAAGUCGCCGCCCUCCGCUCCAUCGGCGUUGCCUCCGCCGUCGGCAUGGACCUCGUCGCCGCGCCGCCGCUCGUCGUCGCCGGCGACUUCCACAACCAGCCGUUCGAGAAUUCCUCGUUUGACUUCGAGUUCUCGAACGUGUUCGAUCACGCGCUUUAUCCGGAGAAAUUUGCGGCGGAGAUUGAGCGGACGUUGCGGCCGGGGGGCG